rnacentral:rRNA from 1 species
AACGAACGCUGGCGGCAUGCCUAACACAUGCAAGUCGAACGAGACCUUCGGGUCUAGUGGCGCACGGGUGCGUAACGCGUGGGAACCUGCCCUUAGGUUCGGAAUAACUCCCCGAAAGGGGUGCUAAUACCGGAUAAUGUCUUCGGACCAAAGAUUUAUCGCCUUUGGAUGGGCCCGCGUUGGAUUAGCUAGUUGGUAGGGUAAAAGCCUACCAAGGCGACGAUCCAUAGCUGGUCUGAGAGGAUGAUCCGCCACACUGGGACUGAGACACGGCCCAGACUACUACGGGAGGCAGCAGUGGGGAAUAUUGGAAAAUGGGCGAUAGCCUGAUCCAGCAAUGCCGCGUAAGUGAUGAAGGCCUUAGGGUUGUAAAGCUCUUUUACCCGGGAUGAUAAUGACGGUACCGGGAGAAUAAGCUCCGGCUAACUCCGUG